CCUGCCCUUUGGGGCAGGGCAGUAGAGUCGGAUUCCCACCUGAGAAAUCUCCAGCGAAGGGGAAGGACCUGGCUGCUCAGCGGUGACGGAUGCGGGCAGAGAGGCAGGCGCAGGAGGUGAAUCCCCCGCCUGCCCACCCCGCCGUCGGGGCAAAGGAUGUUUGAGCGUUUUGCAGAGACCAGCGUUGGGCCUCACGCACAAGCUGUGGCCAUGGCGUCAAGGCAGCCUCUUCACUCUGUGGAUGGUCUCCUUUGUGAAAAAAAGUGCUCAGCAUCGCUAAUCAGCAGGGACUGCAAAUCAAACCGCAAUGAGACAUCACCUCACACGCGGCAGGAGAGCUAUUGUUAAACAACGCAAGACAGCGAGUGUUGCUGAGGAUGCGGGAAACGGGACGCUCGUGAUGGGUUGGUGGGAAAGCAAAAUGGUGCAGCCGCUACGGAAACUAGUGUGGAGGUUCCUCAAAAAAUGAAGAGAAAACUAUGAUAUGAUCUAGGAAUCCCACUUCUGGGUAUUUAUCCAAAAGAAGUGAAAUCAGGAUUUCAAGAAAGAUUAGCAUUCCUGUGUUUAAUGCAGCUCCAUUCACAAUAGCCAAGGACAUUUAGGAAACAACCUAAAUGUCCAGUGAUAGAUGAAUAGAUAAAGAAAAUGUGUGUAUGUACACAUGUGUGUGUCUGUGUGUGCAUAUGUAUGUACACACACGCACAAAUGGCCUUGAAAAGAUGAAAUUCUGCAAAAUGCGACAACAUGAAUUACCUUUGAAGACACGCUACAUGAAAUAAACCAGUCACAAAAGGACAAACACUGCAUAUUUCCAUUUAUCUGACGUAGCUCAAACAGUCGCACUCAUAGAAUCAAAGAGAGGGUCGGUGGUUUCCAGGGGUUGCGGGGAGUGGGCAAUGCAGACUUGUUAAUCUAUGGACACACAGUUUCAGUGAAGCGAGAUGAAUAGGUUCUAGAGAUCCGCCUAACAGCAUCUAUCCGUAGUCAGCAAUACUGUACUGCAUGCUGGACAACUUGUUAAGAGGACUAACAGUUUAAUUUGUUAAGAUCUCAUGUUAAAUAUUUUCUUACCUAAGUAAAAAAAAAAAAAUCAAAAUAAGAGAAAAUAAAGAAGGGAUCCAAAGAAGGUUGGAGAACUGGAGGGCUGCAUCCGUUUGUAACUGCAAACCAAAUCUGUUUACGGUCCGGAAUUCCCACCGCCUUGAGGUCUUUGCUCAGAUUCUCCUCGUCUUGGAAUUCCCUUCUGCCUCCUCUCAGUGUUGGGAGUCUUCCCACGUCUCAGAUGGGAGGAAGUCUUCUCAACAUGACGUCUGCUCCUCUUUAGUGACACUGAUCAGUCCCGCCUGCCCUUUCUAGUUGUUCACACCGGUGCAUGGAUGUGCUAAUGCUUCCGGCCCUGUGGUCCAGAUCCUUGGGGAGCUUCCCGAAGAAGAUGCUGGUGGUGAGGAGGAAGGUGAGGAAGGUCACCACGUGGCUGCAGCACGUCAGAGGCAAUGUGCCGCUUUGCCAGAAGACUGUCCUCGGUCGGAGCCGAACCCUGCCGUCCGCGAAUCGUGCAGCGCUUGGCAAGUUCCUCAGCUUGGCCAAACAGCGAUUUUGAGCCCGGCACAAAUUAAGCUGCAUUUAUAUGUGCUCCAUUCUAGAGCACACAAUAGAUGCUCCAGAAAUAGUGAAUUCUGUUUUCUUCUCUAUCUCCCCUUUAACCAGUGCACAACAGCUCCUAGUUUAUAAAGAGCUUCUAUCUUCGAUGGACUGGUUAGGAUGCUUCGUCUUGCAAGUGCCAGAAACCCAGCCUAAGUAGAUAAAUAGAACUUUUUUGUUAAACUACUUUGCUCCCGUAACUGCAAAGACUAAGCAAAGCUCAAUCCAGGGCUCAAAUGAUGUGACCGAAGCCCAGCUUUUCUCUCUUCACUUCCUAGUUUAGCUUCCUCUGUGUUUGUUCGCUUCUCCAGCGGGCUCUGCCCCUCGUGGCAGAGGGCCACCGGAGCUGCAGUUUUUGUCUUCAGCAACUUCAGAGGAAGGAAAGCACCUUUUCCCUCGCUGCCCCAGCUGCAUUCCCAGAAUUUCAUCCCAGUGGUUUUCAUUGGCCUGGUUUCAAUCCCAUGCCCAGCCCUGAACCACACUGUGGCCUGGGGGAGGGGACGCCCCGAGAGGUCACAGCUGAGACCUCCUCUUUCCUCUGCGCCCCGAGAGGUCACAGCUGAGACCUCCUCUUUCCUCUGCGCCUGGGAUGAGAACAGCCUCCACCCAAACACGUGCACCAGGAGAAGGGAUGAGAUGGCUCUUCAAGGGCAAUCAGGGGACCAAGUGACAGGCAGGCCAAUUACAGCUGUGUACAUCUGCAGGACCCCAGUGAGGCUGGACAGGCCCAGGGAGAACGCCUCUGCUGCUUGGUGGAAUUUCUGAGACCUCUGUGAAGACACGUAGAUGCCUCCAUCCCCCAGUGGUCUGGGAGCUUCCUUAUGCUUCCCAGUGCUCUGGAUGUGUGCGUGUGCGCUCGCUCGCGUGCACGUGCGUGUGGCAAGGGCGAGGGGCCAGCGAGCUAAGUGACCUUUUAGGAAUGUGGAGGUUCUGCCAGUGUCCUGGGAGGAAAGAGUUGGCUUUUGCUCCAAAGGCCGGAACAUAAAGGACCAUUUACAGAGACGGGGGCUGGGUCAGCCCCCGGGGCGUAGUGAAGUCCCCCUGUCCAGCCUGGGGCAGCAAGGAGGAAGGGGAUUACCAGGGCCCCAGGAGAGCAAGACUCCUGGCCUAGGGGGAAGCACAGCCACUGCCUGAGCCCAGACCAGCAGGGAGGGAGCAGGGGGAGUACAUACCCCAGCCCUUCUCUCUUCCCACCCUCCAGGGUCAUGGUGCUGCCUCCCACUGGCCAAACCCAACCAGAAGCCAGAGGGCAGGGAAACCCAGAGCAGGUGAGCCGGGCAGAGAAGGGCCGAGAAUGGAGAUGAGCCAGCAAGGUCCUACUUGCCGGCUGCAGGGUUUAUCCUCUGGGAGGAAAGUGCUGUGUGUUUGACACUUGGCGGAUGAUAUGAGCACAGUUGGGGGAAGGGGUGUUUCGUCAGCGUCUGGCUAAAUUCUGAUUUAUUCUCUUGCUUUUGGAAAUUGUAAUAAUCUCUCCAUCAAAGCUCCAUCUAUCUGCCAAAAUAAUGCAUGUCCUUUUGUACGAAUGAAAGAAUUACUGCUAUUAUGCAAACACUGGAAAGGGAACCGCAUUUGCAUGCAAAGGGGAGAAAAAGAAAAAUCCUAUUUGCAAUAAAAUUAAUUAUACCAGUGUGGCAAAGAGACACAUGGGUAUCCAUUUAACAUUUGGACAGGAGCAGAACUAACUUUCCUUGCCAACCCUGAUGAAAUCGAGGAAGCCAAAAAGAAAGUACUCUAAAAAUAGAGGCCUGGAGAGAAUAUGCAGAAAUUGGGAAUUUCUGGCCACUUUAAGACGUCCCCCUCAACAGAAACAAAAGAUCGAAAUAAAGGUUUUUACAAAUACUA